GAUGAACGCUGGCGGCGUGCCUAAUACAUGCAAGUCGAGCGAACGGACGAGAAGCUUGCUUCUCUGAUGUUAGCGGCGGACGGGAGAGUAACACGUGGAUAAACUACCUAUAAGACUGGGAUAACUUCGGGGAACCGGAGCUAAUACCGGAUAAUAUUUUGAACCGCAUGGUUCAAAAGUGAAAGUCGGUCUUGCUGUCACUUAUAGAUGGAUCCGCGCUGGAUUAGCUAGUUGGUAAGGUAACGGCUUACCAAGGCAACGAUGCAUAGCCGACCUGAGAGGGUGAUCGGCCAGACUGGAACUGAGACACGGUCCAGACUCCUACGGUGGGCAGCAGUAGGGAAUCUUCCGCGAUGGGCGAAAGCCGGACGGAGCAACGCCGCGUGAGUGAUGAAGGUCUUCGGAUCGUAAAACUCUGUUAUUAGGGAAGAACAUAUGUGUAAGUAACUGUGCACAUCUUGACGGUACCUAAUCAGAAAGCCACGGCUAACUACGUG
rnacentral:rRNA from 1 species